rnacentral:rRNA from 1 species
CGCGUAGGUGGCCUGUUAAGUCGAACGUGAAAUCCCGGGCUCAACCCGGGAACUGCGUCCGAGACUGGCAGGCUCGAAUCCGGGAGAGGGAUGUGGAAUUCCAGGUGUAGCGGUGAAAUGCGUAGAUAUCUGGAGGAACACCGGUGGCGAAGGCGGCAUCCUGGACCGGUAUUGACGCUGAGGCGCGAAAGCCAGGGGAGCAAACGG